rnacentral:rRNA from 1 species
AGGAUGAACGCUGGCGGCGUGCCUAACACAUGCAAGUCGAACGUCCUGUCUCGCAAGAGGCAGGGAGUGGCGGACGGGUGAGUACCACGUGGGUCAUCUACCGUGAGGUGAGGAAUACCGGCGAGAAAUCGCCGACAAGACCGCAUAGGCUCGAUGCAAGUCGAGCAAAGCUCUCUCGAGAGAGGGAGCGCCACACGAGGAGCCUGCGCCCGAUUAGCUAGCUGGUGGAGUAAUGGUUCACCAGGGCGACGAUCGGUAGCUGGUCUGAGAGGACGAUCAGCCACACUGGGAUUGAGAACGGCCCAGACUCCGUACGGGGGCAGCAGUGAGGAAUUUUCGUCAAUGGGGGCAACCCUGAACGAGCAACGCCGCGUGCAGGAAGAAGGUUUUCGGAUCGUAAACUGCUUUUCGCGGGGAAGAGGAACGGACGGUACCCGAGGAAUCGACGCCCCGGCUAACGUACGCGCCAGCAGCCGCGGU